UCCCUCACUGCUCCCCCGCUGUGCGUCCCCUCUCCCCACCCCCCCAAGUCAGGGCCCCCUUGGAGAAGUUCCAACCAGUGUCAGACUCUUAACCUUACUGAGCCUGAAGGGUGGGGGGAAUGGCCCGCAGGGGGAGUGACCUGUCUGCUGAGGGUCAGAGGGACAGGUUGCCAGGCUGGGGCAGGGAAGGCAGAAACUUAAGCCGUGCACCGUGGAGAGGAAGGAUUAGCCCCCUUUGCAACGUCAGUCACCCACAGACCAAACAGACCCGCCACGCCGGCUCAUCCGGAACGUGGCCUCCGGCCCUUGCAGAAACCCCACGUGGCGUGAGGCCUGCCCAGAGACCGGCGCCCCUUACCCGCCUGGGCCACAGACUUUUUGGCUCUCCCAUCUCACGGACAAGCAGACGUUAGAGAGGAUUGAGCCGCGGCCACCAUCCAUGGGCAGACUAGCUGACUUUUUAGAGCUUGUUUCUUUUGAACAUCGGAGGGUCCCUGCUUUGCCCGGCGUUCUGGGUGAGAUCAGCCGGGAGCUGGAGUUGGAGGUGCCGACAGACUCUGCUACGUGCUCUCUGAACGCUGCAGCCGCAAGAGCAAAGGUCACACACUUGCCUCACAGCGACGGAGAUAAUCCAGAGACCGAGGACUGAGCAGGGGAAUCCAACUUUCUGUUGGUCUUUUGGGAGGGUACACUGUCCAGCGAGAGGUUCGACGCCUCCCGCCUCCAGGGAUGUCGGCGUGUGGCGUUUCUUAAAGCCGGAGAACUUACAAACUCAGAGCUGGCCGGUGCCUUGUCCUUCCUCUGGGUUCACCCUUACUGAGCACUUAGCAACUUAGGAAAGGCGGGUCACGGAGGGGACGGGUCGUAAGUCUCUGACCGUCCACCUGUGUGUUUAGAAGCGUUUUGCCCCUUCUCUCCGGAGUGAUCCCGGGGGGUAAUCUAUUUACUAGAUAUCUGGGCAAGUGUCUCGAUCA